GUUUUUUUUUUUUUUUUUUUUUUUUUUUG
rnacentral:ribozyme from 1 species